rnacentral:rRNA from 1 species
GGGUUGUGAGGUUAAGCGACUAAGCGUACACGGUGGAUGCCCUGGCAGUCAGAGGCGAUGAAGGACGUGCUAAUCUGCGAUAAGCGUCGGUAAGGUGAUAUGAACCGUUAUAACCGGCGAUUUCCGAAUGGGGAAACCCAGUGUGUUUCGACACACUAUCAUUAACUGAAUCCAUAGGUUAAUGAGGCGAACCGGGGGAACUGAAACAUCUAAGUACCCCGAGGAAAAGAAAUCAACCGAGAUUCCCCCAGUAGCGGCGAGCGAACGGGGAGCAGCCCAGAGCCUGAAUCAGURUGUGUGUUAGUGGAAGCGUCUGGAAAGGCGCGCGAUACAGGGUGACAGCCCCGUACACAAAAAUGCACAURYUGUGAGCUCGAUGAGUAGGGCGGGACACGUGGUAUCCUGUCUGAAUAUGGGGGGACCAUCCUCCAAGGCUAAAUACUCCUGACUGACCGAUAGUGAACCAGUACCGUGAGGGAAAGGCGAAAAGAACCCCGGCGAGGGGAGUGAAAAAGAACCUGAAACCGUGUACGUACAAGCAGUGGGAGCACGCUUAGGCGUGUGACUGCGUACCUUUUGUAUAAUGGGUCAGCGACUUAUAUUCUGUAGCAAGGUUAACCGAAUAGGGGAGCCGAAGGGAAACCGAGUCUUAACUGGGCGUUAAGUUGCAGGGUAUAGACCCGAAACCCGGUGAUCUAGCCAUGGGCAGGUUGAAGGUUGGGUAACACUAACUGGAGGACCGAACCGACUAAUGUUGAAAAAUUAGCGGAUGACUUGUGGCUGGGGGUGAAAGGCCAAUCAAACCGGGAGAUAGCUGGUUCUCCCCGAAAGCUAUUUAGGUAGCGCCUCGUGAAUUCAUCUCCGGGGGUAGAGCACUGUUUCGGCAAGGGGGUCAUCCCGACUUACCAACCCGAUGCAAACUGCGAAUACCGGAGAAUGUUAUCACGGGAGACACACGGCGGGUGCUAACGUCCGUCGUGAAGAGGGAAACAACCCAGACCGCCAGCUAAGGUCCCAAAGUCAUGGUUAAGUGGGAAACGAUGUGGGAAGGCCCAGACAGCCAGGAUGUUGGCUUAGAAGCAGCCAUCAUUUAAAGAAAGCGUAAUAGCUCACUGGUCGAGUCGGCCUGCGCGGAAGAUGUAACGGGGCUAAACCAUGCACCGAAGCUGCGGCAGCGACRCUAUGYGUUGUUGGGUAGGGGAGCGUUCUGUAAGCCUGYGAAGGUGUGCUGUGAGGCAUGCUGGAGGUAUCAGAAGUGCGAAUGCUGACAUAAGUAACGAUAAAGCGGGUGAAAAGCCCGCUCGCCGGAAGACCAAGGGUUCCUGUCCAACGUUAAUCGGGGCAGGGUGAGUCGACCCCUAAGGCGAGGCCGAAAGGCGUAGUCGAUGGGAAACAGGUUAAUAUUCCUGUACUUGGUGUUACUGCGAAGGGGGGACGGAGAAGGCUAUGUUGGCCGGGCGACGGUUGUCCCGGUUUAAGCGUGUAGGCUGGUUUUCCAGGCAAAUCCGGAAAAUCAAGGCUGAGGCGUGAUGACGAGGCACUACGGUGCUGAAGCAACAAAUGCCCUGCUUCCAGGAAAAGCCUCUAAGCAUCAGGUAACAUCAAAUCGUACCCCAAACCGACACAGGUGGUCAGGUAGAGAAUACCAAGGCGCUUGAGAGAACUCGGGUGAAGGAACUAGGCAAAAUGGUGCCGUAACUUCGGGAGAAGGCACGCUGAUAUGUAGGUGARGUCCCUCGCGGAUGGAGCUGAAAUCAGUCGAAGAUACCAGCUGGCUGCAACUGUUUAUUAAAAACACAGCACUGUGCAAACACGAAAGUGGACGUAUACGGUGUGACGCCUGCCCGGUGCCGGAAGGUUAAUUGAUGGGGUUAGCCGCAAGGCGAAGCUCUUGAUCGAAGCCCCGGUAAACGGCGGCCGUAACUAUAACGGUCCUAAGGUAGCGAAAUUCCUUGUCGGGUAAGUUCCGACCUGCACGAAUGGCGUAAUGAUGGCCAGGCUGUCUCCACCCGAGACUCAGUGAAAUUGAACUCGCUGUGAAGAUGCAGUGUACCCGCGGCAAGACGGAAAGACCCCGUGAACCUUUACUAUAGCUUGACACUGAACAUUGAGCCUUGAUGUGUAGGAUAGGUGGGAGGCUUWGAAGUGUGGACGCCAGUCUGCAUGGAGCCGACCUUGAAAUACCACCCUUUAAUGUUUGAUGUUCUAACGUUGACCCGUAAUCCGGGUUGCGGACAGUGUCUGGUGGGUAGUUUGACUGGGGCGGUCUCCUCCUAAAGAGUAACGGAGGAGCACGAAGGUUGGCUAAUCCUGGUCGGACAUCAGGAGGUUAGUGCAAUGGCAUAAGCCAGCUUGACUGCGAGCGUGACGGCGCGAGCAGGUGCGAAAGCAGGUCAUAGUGAUCCGGUGGUUCUGAAUGGAAGGGCCAUCGCUCAACGGAUAAAAGGUACUCCGGGGAUAACAGGCUGAUACCGCCCAAGAGUUCAUAUCGACGGCGGUGUUUGGCACCUCGAUGUCGGCUCAUCACAUCCUGGGGCUGAAGUAGGUCCCAAGGGUAUGGCUGUUCGCCAUUUAAAGUGGUACGCGAGCUGGGUUUAGAACGUCGUGAGACAGUUCGGUCCCUAUCUGCCGUGGGCGCUGGAGAACUGAGGGGGGCUGCUCCUAGUACGAGAGGACCGGAGUGGACGCAUCACUGGUGUUCGGGUUGUCAUGCCAAUGGCACUGCCCGGUAGCUAAAUGCGGAAGAGAUAAGUGCUGAAAGCAUCUAAGCACGAAACUUGCCCCGAGAUGAGUUCUCCCUGACCCUUUAAGGGUCCUGAAGGAACGUUGAAGACGACGACGUUGAUAGGCCGGGUGUGUGGACGCAUCACUGGUGUUCGGGUUGUCAUGCCAAUGGCACUGCCCGGUAGCUAAAUGCGGAAGAGAUAAGUGCUGAAAGCAUCUAAGCACGAAACUUGCCCCGAGAUGAGUUCUCCCUGACUCCUUGAGAGUCCUGAAGGAACGUUGAAGACGACGACGUUGAUAGGCCGGGUGUGUAAGCGCAGCGAUGCGUUGAGCUAACCGGUACUAAUGAACCGUGAGGCUUAACCUUACAACGCCGAAGGUGUUU